GGCCUCUGGAGCCAGUCUUCCCAAGGUGAAAUCCUAACUUUGCCACUUACUAGCCAUGUGAACUUGGGCAAGUGACCUAAUCCUCUGCAUUUCAUCUCUAAAUUGGGGAGAAUAGAAGCAUCUACUUCAUGUAGUAGCCAGGAUUAGAAGAGUGAUGAAGCUAUACUUGUUUCAUUUUCCAGAUGGGGCCACUUGAGGGAAAAGACCUACCCAAGGGCACAUAAUCUGUACAUGAGAGAGAGCCAGAUGUAACAGACUGAGUACUGGACUUGGGGUUAAACAGACUGUGAAUCUUUCCACCCCAUUGGCAAGUUACCUUGGACAAGUUACUUUAAUCUCCCUGAGCCUCAAUCUGCUCAUCUUUAAGAUGGAAGUCUUAAUAAUCUCCUCAUAGGGGAUUAAACAAGAACAUGAGCACACCUUUUCUAACACAGUGUCUGAGAUGAGUAGAUGUUCAAAAUAGGGGUUCAUUUGCUUCUUUGCUCUUUGGCUCCCACCUUUUUUUCAACUGCCCCAAAUCUCUUUCUGCUCACCUUUUCUUGUUCCAUGGGGUCUUUACACCACCGUGUUAGCAUGUGUUUCUGCUACAUGGUUACUUCUUUUCUAGAAGCAAGUGAGUGAGGGAGGGCCCAGUGGGCAGCUCAGAACUCAGUAAUAAAACCACACAGAAUCCAUCUCAAACAAAACGGCAGAUUGGCAAGAGUGACCUGCAUGUAGUUUUUGAUUUCAUUUACAGUAUGCAAGGACUGUGGGAGGACAACUGGAGGGGAGUCAGGAAAUGGGGGUUCAAGUCCAUGGAGUGGCUAUGUGAUGCUGGGCUGGCCCCUUUUCCUCUCUGGGCCUCAGUUUCCCCAUGUGACAAUAAGGGGUCAGGCCAGGGAAUAUUCUGACACUCUGAAUUUUUAAUUUUAUUCUAAUUAUAUGUUUCAGGGAGGAAUAACUGGGCCCUGGAUAGAAUGUGAUGAAUGUAUAUUCUUAAUGAGAAGUGGAAAUAAUUUGUGGUUGAGAGCUGUGCCUCAGAUCAGAGUGACAGGAUACAUGGCUAGGCUAUAUUUUCCAGCAGAUUAAGAGCUGCGGCCCAAGACUCUGAAAUAUGAAGAAAAAAGGAGAAGAUGACAGCAUAUCUUUUUAAAGAAAUAUUUUCCAGCCAAAUGGUGUAGCAGAGGACUUCCAGGAAUUUGUUCUUGUUCUGUAUCAAAGGUGAAGAGUUCGUAGCCUUCAAGGAAACAAGAAACCAUGGGAUGGAGUGAAGGAAGGUGGCCUGGAACCAGCUGCUGAGCCUCUCUGAGCCCCAGUUUCCUCGUCUCUAAAAUGGGGCUGAUCUCCUCUCCCUCAGACUGUUGUUGCAGGAAUUAAAACAGGUGUUGAGUGGGAAAGCAUCAGUCCCAUAGCAAAUGGCCCCUGAGUAGUAGGAUCUGAGUUCUGGUUCUGGUCCUGCUGGGGUAUGGCUGGUUGAGAGGUCAAAGAGGUAAUUAAAGGGAUUGCCAGCUUCAUUAUUGGGAGCUGAGAUUCCAUUUUAGACCAAGAGUGUGACCAAGGUGGUAACCUUAACAUUUCAUUUCUUCAUAUUUAUUUAUUGAGCCGAUAUUUUUCAAGCAUUUGUCAUGUACCUAGUAUUUUGUUGCUGCUAGGGUAGACAACAGCCCCCCCGCCAGCCCCUGCCACCACAAUGUAGAAAGUACCUCCACAUCCAUAGGCCCCUCUCUACCCUGGUCCGGCCCACCCAGCCACUUCCUGAGUAGAGAAUGGGGCACAGCAUCCCUAACCUCCCUGUUCCCCAUCCAGACAAGCACAUCCUAUCUAUUCUGUCUCCUGAUGUCAUUCACACUGUCCCUUCUCCUGCAGCACCCCAUGUUUGGCUUUCCAUGUCACCUUCCUCACUGCCUUUCCAAUCCAGGUCCCACAUAGCAGCCAGCGUGGCCCUUCUAAAACACAAACCAUAUCACUCCCUUCUUCAAAACUCUCCAAUGGCUCCUUUCUGCCCCUCCUCAGAAAGGAGACAGCCCUUUGCGUGGCUUAGCAGGACCCUCACAACCUGGCCCUGCCCCUUAGCCUCAUCACACAUAGCGUCUUCAGAGCACACCUUCCCUGGCAGUGCAGUUCAUCUGUUUCAAGCUUCUGUGACUUUGCUGGUGGAAAACCACCUAGCCAUGCUAACUCCUUUUCUCAGCUAUAGAAAGAGUCUUGGAGGAAGG
rnacentral:lncRNA from 1 species